GGUGUUUUAUUCUCCUUUCCAACAAACCAACUCGGGGAAGUGUUAGACUUCAACAUAUGUAUUACACAACAUCAAGUACAUGUCAAAAUGGUACUUGUCGGUCAUCGGAUUUGUCAUCAAUAUCGACACGUUGAUGCUGAUGAUUCCUGAACUGCUCAAAGUUCAGCGGUAUGUGCUCACCUACAGGUUCAGCCAAGAUCACUUGGAGCUCCUAUUUAAUUCAAUCAGAGCGUCAGGCAGCUGGAAUAACAAUCCAUCGGCAAGCCAGUUCCAAGCCAUCUUCCGCCGCUGAUGGUUCAGUGUGGUGUCUCACCUUGUUAGACAGACAAUGUGGCAGCACAGGAUAACACUGUGUCCCUGUGCGCUGUGGAGAUUUCCUGAAACUGCUGAAGAGCCCCCACUCCAUUCGCCAACAUUUCGCCCCUUGUGUAAUCUCCCCACUCGGUUUGGUGGUCUGGUGGAAAAUGCUCUGGUCUACAUAGCAGGGUUUGUAGAUGUGUGCCAUGCGAUCUUGGUCAGAGAUGCUGUACCAUCUUCAUUUGACAAGAGCUACCACCUUCUAACCCAGAAAAACAACAGUGGCCUAGUGAUUCCAUCACAAGACACAGUGAAGGACUGAUUUUAUCUUGUUUUUUUUAAUUCUUUAAAUCUUUGUAUAUUAAGGUUUCUUUGUUCUUAUUUUCUCUGUUUUUUAGUGUCUUGGAGCACUGUGUAAAGCGCUAUAUAAAUAUAAUGUUAUUUUUUUUAUUAUUAUUUUAAUAAGGUGCUGAGAGCUGCAGAGAGGGUGAUCCGCCAAGCUUCACCAAUACAAGCUCCUAAGGUGUUGACAGUCACACACAUCGUCGGGGAGGAGAUUGGAGCGGAGGAUGUUUUUCUGCUUCGGGAACACAUUGAGGAGACACAGUUUGGCAUUGACAACCGUCAUUCUGACUUGUUGUCAUUGGUUGUGUCUGUGUUCCUCAAAAUAAGGCUGCACCACAUUGCCAAACUAACCUCUCUUGAACUGCUGAAAGGGCGCACGAGGAAGAAGCUCUGCAAAACUGUCCUCUUUCAGGGGUUUUAGAGCGUGUGCGUGUGUGUGGUUCCACGACAGUUCAAGACUUUAAUCCUAGAUUCCGGCAUCCCCAAACGAAUUCUAAGCUUCAUAUCUGUACUUUAACCUUACUCAUCACACAUAGUAUCUUUAUGUCAUAUCUGUCAUCAUUCUGACAAGAUUAACACUGACACUGAAUACAAUGGCUUAAAACUGCCUGGAAACAAUGGUCUGUCACAUUAUAUGUGAAU